rnacentral:rRNA from 1 species
CUACGGGGGGCUGCAGUGGGGAAUCUUGGACAAUGGGCGCAAGCCUGAUCCAGCCAUGCCGCGUGAGUGAAGAAGGCCUUAGGGUCGUAAAGCUCUUUCGCCAGAGAUGAUAAUGACAGUAUCUGGUAAAGAAACCCCGGCUAACUCCGUGCCAGCAGCCGCGGUAAUACGGAGGGGGUUAGCGUUGUUCGGAAUUACUGGGCGUAAAGCGCGCGUAGGCGGAUUAGUCAGUCAGAGGUGAAAUCCCAGGGCUCAACCCUGGAACUGCCUUUGAUACUGCUAGUCUUGAGUUCGAGAGAGGUGAGUGGAAUUCCGAGUGUAGAGGUGAAAUUCGUAGAUAUUCGGAGGAACACCAGUGGCGAAGGCGGCUCACUGGCUCGAUACUGACGCUGAGGUGCGAAAGUGUGGGGAGCAAACAGGAUUAGAUACCCGUGUAGUC